rnacentral:rRNA from 1 species
ACUACGGGAGGCAGCAGUGAGGAAUAUUGGUCAAUGGGCUUAAGCCUGAACCAGCCAAGUCGCGUGAAGGAAGACUGCCCUAUGGGUUGUAAACCUCUUUUGUCAGGGAGUAACGCCGGCUACGUGUAGCCGGACUGAGAGUACAUGAAGAAAAAGCAUCGGCUAACUCCGUGCCAGCAGCCGCGGUAAUACGGAGAAUGCGAGGGUUAUCCGGUUUUAUGGGGUUUAAAGGGUGGGUAGUGGGAAUGCCAAGUCGGCGGUAAAAUCGCGGGGCUCAACGUCGCUCCGACGUUGAAACUGGCUGUCUUGAGUGGGCGAGAGGUGUGCGGAAUGCGUGGUGUAGCGGUGAAAUGCAUAGAUAUCACGCAGAACUCCGAUUGCGAAGGCAGUAUACCGGCGCCCAACUGACGCUGAAGCACGAAAGCGUGGGUAUCGAACAGGAUUAGAUACCCCAGUAGUC